CCUACGGGUGGCAGCAGUGGGGAAUCUUGCGCAAUGGGCGAAAGCCUGACGCAGCGACGCCGCGUGAGGGAUGAAGGUCUUCGGAUCGUAAACCUCUGUCAGCAGGGAAGAACGGUCACUGUGCUAAUCAGCAGUGCAUUGACGGUAUCUGCCAAGAAAGCAACGGCUAACUCCGUGCCAGCAGCCGCGGUAAUACGGAGGGUGCGAGCGUUAAUCGGAUUUACUGGGCGUAAAGCGCGCGUAGGCGGUAUGUCAAGUCAAGGGUGAAAUCCCCGGGCUCAACGUGGGAAGGGCCUUGGAAACUGGCAAACUGGAGUGUGUGAGAGGAUAGUGGAAUUCCAGGUGUAGGAGUGAAAUCCGUAGAUAUCUGGAGGAACAUCAGUGGCGAAGGCGACUAUCUGGUACAUAACUGACGCUGAGGAGCGAAAGCGUGGGUAGCAAACAGGAUUAGAUACCCGAGUAGUC
rnacentral:rRNA from 1 species